GAUGAACGCUGGCGGCGUGCUUAACACAUGCAAGUCGAACGGAAAGGCUCCUGCUUUCAGGGGUACUCGAGUGGCGAACGGGUGAGUAACAUGUGGGUGAUCUGCCCUGCACUUCGGGAUAAGCCUGGGAAACUGGGUCUAAUACCGGAUAGGACGAUGUUUUGGAUGCCAUUGUGGAAAGUUUUUCGGUGUGGGAUGAGCUCGCGGCCUAUCAGCUUGUUGGUGGGGUAAUGGCCUACCAAGGCGUCGACGGGUAGCCGGCCUGAGAGGGUGUACGGCCACAUUGGGACUGAGAUACGGCCCAGACUCCUACGGGAGGCAGCAGUGGGGAAUAUUGCACAAUGGGCGGAAGCCUGAUGCAGCGACGCCGCGUGGGGGAUGACGGCCUUCGGGUUGUAAACUCCUUUCGCUAGGGACGAAGCGCAAGUGACGGUACCUGGAGAAGAAGCACCGGCUAACUACGUG
rnacentral:rRNA from 1 species